rnacentral:rRNA from 1 species
GGGGAAUCUUCCGCAAUGGACGAAAGUCUGACGGAGCAACGCCGCGUGAGUGAAGAAGAUUUUCGGAUCGUAAAGCUCUGUCUUUUGGGACGAAUGUAGACUGUGUAAAUAAUGCAGUUUAAUGACGGUACUAAAGGAGGAAGCCACGGCUAACUACGUGCCAGCAGCCGCGGUAAUACGUAGGUGGCGAGCGUUGUCCGGAAUUAUUGGGCGUAAAGGGCGCGUAGGCGGAUUCAUAAGUCUGACUUAAAAGUGCAGGGCUCAACCCUGUGAGGGGUCAGAAACUAUGGAUCUUGAGUGCAGGAGAGGAAAGUGGAAUUCCCAGUGUAGCGGUGAAAUGCGUAGAUAUUGGGAGGAACACCAGUGGCGAAGGCGACUUUCUGGACUGUGUCUGACGCUGAGGCGCGAAAGCCAGGGGAGUGAACG